rnacentral:lncRNA from 1 species
CUCCACACAUCACAAAUGACUCAGAGUCAUGAUAGCUUGAACAAAUAAACAAGUAACAGUUGAGAAGAGAAAUCAAAGGCACAAUGCAGUAAUGACCUUUCUCUUUAACUCAGCACUGAAGCACUGCUUUCUUUCACAAAGGUUUUACUUCUCUCUGUGGGUGGUUUUGAGAUUACAAUGGCCUAAGAAACCCUUUCUUCAAGGAAUCAUCUGACAAGAAACAUCUAAACACCAGACUUGCCACCAAAACACAUAAAUGGGGCCACCGGCGUCUAUCUGUCAACACCACUGAAACAAUGGCUACAGGUAUUGGAGAAGGGAUAAACCGUAUGAAGCAG